UUAAGCGACUAAGCGUACACGGUGGAUGCCCUGGCAGUCAGAGGCGAUGAAGGACGUGCUAAUCUGCGAAAAGCGCCGGCGAGGUGAUAUGAACCUUUGACCCGGCGAUGUCCGAAUGGGGAAACCCAGUGUGAUUCGUCACACUAUCGUUAACUGAAUACAUAGGUUAACGAGGCGAACCGGGGGAACUGAAACAUCUAAGUACCCCGAGGAAAAGAAAUCAACCGAGAUUCCCCCAGUAGCGGCGAGCGAACGGGGAGCAGCCCAGAGUCUGAAUCAGCUUGUGUGUUAGUGGAAGCGUCUGGAAAGUCGCACGGUACAGGGUGACAGUCCCGUACACGAAAGCACACAGGUUGUGAACUCGAAGAGUAGGGCGGGACACGUGGUAUCCUGUCUGAAUAUGGGGGGACCAUCCUCCAAGGCUAAAUACUCCUGACUGACCGAUAGUGAACCAGUACCGUGAGGGAAAGGCGAAAAGAACCCCGGCGAGGGGAGUGAAAUAGAACCUGAAACCGUGUACGUACAAGCAGUGGGAGCACCUUCGUGGUGUGACUGCGUACCUUUUGUAUAAUGGGUCAGCGACUUAUAUUCUGUAGCAAGGUUAACCGUAUAGGGGAGCCGAAGGGAAACCGAGUCUUAACUGGGCGUUAAGUUGCAGGGUAUAGACCCGAAACCCGGUGAUCUAGCCAUGGGCAGGUUGAAGGUUGGGUAACACUAACUGGAGGACCGAACCGACUAAUGUUGAAAAAUUAGCGGAUGACUUGUGGCUGGGGGUGAAAGGCCAAUCAAACCGGGAGAUAGCUGGUUCUCCCCGAAAGCUAUUUAGGUAGCGCCUCGUGAACUCAUCUUCGGGGGUAGAGCACUGUUUCGGCUAGGGGGCCAUCCCGGCUUACCAACCCGAUGCAAACUACGAAUACCGAAGAAUGUUAUCACGGGAGACACACGGCGGGUGCUAACGUCCGUCGUGAAGAGGGAAACAACCCAGACCGCCAGCUAAGGUCCCAAAGUCAUGGUUAAGUGGGAAACGAUGUGGGAAGGCACAGACAGCCAGGAUGUUGGCUUAGAAGCAGCCAUCAUUUAAAGAAAGCGUAAUAGCUCACUGGUCGAGUCGGCCUGCGCGGAAGAUGUAACGGGGCUAAACCAUGCACCGAAGCUGCGGCAGCGACGCGUAUGCGUUGUUGGGUAGGGGAGCGUUCUGUAAGCCGUUGAAGGUGGCCUGUGAGGGUUGCUGGAGGUAUCAGAAGUGCGAAUGCUGACAUAAGUAACGAUAAAGCGGGUGAAAAGCCCGCUCGCCGGAAGACCAAGGGUUCCUGUCCAACGUUAAUCGGGGCAGGGUGAGUCGACCCCUAAGGCGAGGCCGAAAGGCGUAGUCGAUGGGAAACAGGUUAAUAUUCCUGUACUUGGUGUUACUGCGAAGGGGGGACGGAGAAGGCUAUGUUAGCCGGGCGACGGUUGUCCCGGUUUAAGCAUGUAGGCGGAACGAUUAGGUAAAUCCGGUCGUUUUUUAACGCUGAGGUGUGAUGACGAGGCACUACGGUGCUGAAGUAACAAAUGCCCUGCUUCCAGGAAAAGCCUCUAAGCAUCAGGUAACAUCAAAUCGUACCCCAAACCGACACAGGUGGUCAGGUAGAGAAUACCAAGGCGCUUGAGAGAACUCGGGUGAAGGAACUAGGCAAAAUGGUGCCGUAACUUCGGGAGAAGGCACGCUGAUAUGUAGGUGAAGCCCCUGCGGGUGGAGCUGAAAUCAGUCGAAGAUACCAGCUGGCUGCAACUGUUUAUUAAAAACACAGCACUGUGCAAACACGAAAGUGGACGUAUACGGUGUGACGCCUGCCCGGUGCCGGAAGGUUAAUUGAUGGGGUUAGCGGCAACGCGAAGCUCUUGAUCGAAGCCCCGGUAAACGGCGGCCGUAACUAUAACGGUCCUAAGGUAGCGAAAUUCCUUGUCGGGUAAGUUCCGACCUGCACGAAUGGCGUAAUGAUGGCCAGGCUGUCUCCACCCGAGACUCAGUGAAAUUGAACUCGCUGUGAAGAUGCAGUGUACCCGCGGCAAGACGGAAAGACCCCGUGAACCUUUACUAUAGCUUGACACUGAACACUGGUCCUUGAUGUGUAGGAUAGGUGGGAGGCUUUGAAGUGUGGACGCCAGUCUGCAUGGAGCCGUCCUUGAAAUACCACCCUUUAAUGGCUGGUGUUCUAACGUAGACCCGUGAUCCGGGUUGCGGACAGUGUCUGGUGGGUAGUUUGACUGGGGCGGUCUCCUCCCAAAGAGUAACGGAGGAGCACGAAGGUUAGCUAAUCCUGGUCGGACAUCAGGAGGUUAGUGCAAUGGCAUAAGCUAGCUUGACUGCGAGAGUGACGGCUCGAGCAGGUGCGAAAGCAGGUCAUAGUGAUCCGGUGGUUCUGAAUGGAAGGGCCAUCGCUCAACGGAUAAAAGGUACUCCGGGGAUAACAGGCUGAUACCGCCCAAGAGUUCAUAUCGACGGCGGUGUUUGGCACCUCGAUGUCGGCUCAUCACAUCCUGGGGCUGAAGUAGGUCCCAAGGGUAUGGCUGUUCGCCAUUUAAAGUGGUACGCGAGCUGGGUUUAGAACGUCGUGAGACAGUUCGGUCCCUAUCUGCCGUGGGCGCUGGAGAAUUGAGGGGGGCUGCUCCUAGUACGAGAGGACCGGAGUGGACGCAUCACUGGUGUUCGGGUUGUCAUGCCAAUGGCACUGCCCGGUAGCUAAAUGCGGAAAAGAUAAGUGCUGAAAGCAUCUAAGCACGAAACUUGCCCCGAGAUGAGUUCUCCCUGAGACUUUAAGUCUCCUGAAGGAACGUUGAAGACGACGACGUUGAUAGGUCGGGUGUGUAAGCGCAGCGAUGCGUUGAGCUAACCGAUACUAAUGAACCGUGAGGCUUAACCU
rnacentral:rRNA from 1 species